UACGUAGGGUGCAAGCGUUGUCCGGAUUUACUGGGUUUAAAGGGUGCGCAGGCGGGACGGUAAGUCAGUGAUGAAAUGUCAGGGCUCAACCUUGGCGCCGUUGCUGAAACUGCCGUUCUUGAGUGCGGUUGAGGUUGCUGGAAUGAGUGGUGUAGCGGUGAAAUGCGUAGAGAUCACUCAGAACACCGAUUGCGAAGGCAGGCAACUGGACCGCUACUGACGCUCAUGCACGAAAGCGUGGGGAUCAAACAGG
rnacentral:rRNA from 1 species